rnacentral:rRNA from 1 species
GACGAACGCUGGCGGCGUGCUUAACACAUGCAAGUCGAACGGAAAGGCCCUGCUUUCAGGGUACGCUAGUGUCGAACGGGUGAGUAACACGCGGGUGAUCUGCCCUCCACUUCGGGAUAAGCCUGGGGAACUGGGUCUAAUACCGGGGAUGAGCCCUUUUGAGGGUUGUGGGUGGAUAGUCUUUUCGGUGUAGGAUGGGCUCGCUCGCUAUCUGCUUGUUGGUGGGGUAAUGGCCUACCAAGGCGGCGGUGGGUGGCCGGCCGGGGGGGGUGGACGGCCAAAUUGGGGCUGGGAUACGGCCCAGACUCCUAAGGGAGGCAGCAGUGGGGAAUAUUGCAAAAUGGGCGGAAGCCUGAUGCAGCGACGCCGCGUGGGGGAUGACGGCCUUCGGGUUGUAAACCCCUUUCGCUAGGGAAGAAGCUUUUUGUGACGGUACCUAGAUAAGAAGCACCGGCUAACUACGUG